CAUGCAGUCGAGCGGCAGCGACACAUUGAACCUUCGGGGGAUUUGUUGGGCGGCGAGCGGCGGACGGGUGAGUAAUGCCUGGGAAAUUGCCCUGAUGUGGGGGAUAACCAUUGGAAACGAUGGCUAAUACCGCAUGAUAGCUUCGGCUCAAAGAGGGGGACCUUCGGGCCUCUCGCGUCAGGAUAUGCCCAGGUGGGAUUAGCUAGUUGGUGAGGUAAGGGCUCACCAAGGCGACGAUCCCUAGCUGGUCUGAGAGGAUGAUCAGCCACACUGGAACUGAGACACGGUCCAGACUCCUACGGGAGGCAGCAGUGGGGAAUAUUGCACAAUGGGCGCAAGCCUGAUGCAGCCAUGCCGCGUGUAUGAAGAAGGCCUUCGGGUUGUAAAGUACUUUCAGCAGUGAGGAAGGGGGUAUCGUUAAUAGCGGUAUCCUUUGACGUUAGCUGCAGAAGAAGCACCGGCUAACUCCGUGCCAGCAGCCGCGGUAAUACGGAGGGUGCGAGCGUUAAUCGGAAUUACUGGGCGUAAAGCGCAUGCAGGUGGUUUGUUAAGUCAGAUGUGAAAGCCCGGGGCUCAACCUCGGAAUUGCAUUUGAAACUGGCAGGCUAGAGUACUGUAGAGGGGGGUAGAAUUUCACGUGUAGCGGUGAAAUGCGUAGAGAUCUGAAAGGAAUACCGGUGGCGAGGGCGGCCCCCU
rnacentral:rRNA from 1 species